ACGCUCGACACCUACGGGGGGCAGCAGUGGGGAAUAUUGCACAAUGGGGGAAACCCUGAUGCAGCGACGCCGCGUGAGCGAAGAAGUAUUUCGGUAUGUAAAGCUCUAUCAGCAGGGAAGAAACUGACGGUACCUGACUAAGAAGCACCGGCUAAAUACGUGCCAGCAGCCGCGGUAAUCUGAGCGGCUGGCAAGGC
rnacentral:rRNA from 1 species